GAAUAUUGGACAAUGGGGGCAACCCUGAUCCAGCAAUGCCGCGUGAGUGAUGAAGGCCUUCGGGUUGUAAAGCUCUUUUGGCAGGGACGAUAAUGACGGUACCUGCAGAAUAAGCCCCGGCUAACUUCGUUCCCGCAGCCGCGGUAAUACGAAGGGGGCGAGCGUUGUUCGGAGUUACUGGGCGUAAAGGGCGCGUAGGCGGUUUUUCAAGUCAGGUGUGAAAGCCCUGGGCUCAACCCGGGAAAUGCACUUGGGACUGAAAGACUUGAGAUCGAGAGAGGAUGAUGGAAUUCCCAGUGUAGAGGUGAAAUUCGUAGAGAUUGGGAAGAACACCGGUGGCGAAGGCGGUCAUCUGGCUCGUAUCUGACGCUGAGGCGCGAAAGCGUGGGGAGCAAACAGG
rnacentral:rRNA from 1 species